UCGGGUGUGGUGUACGGAACACACUCCCUCUUCUUGAAAAGGGGGGCAAAUAAUUGUGAAGGGAGAGACCCGGGUUCGAUUCCCGGUGCCCGAA